AGUGAACGCUGGCGGUAGGCCUAACACAUGCAAGUCGAACGGCAGCACAGUAAGAGCUUGCUCUUACGGGUGGCGAGUGGCGGACGGGUGAGGAAUACAUCGGAAUCUACUUUUUCGUGGGGGAUAACGUAGGGAAACUUACGCUAAUACCGCAUACGACCUACGGUUGAAAGCGGGGGAUCUUUUGACCUUGCGCGAUUGAAUGCGCCGAUGUCGGAUUAGCUGGUUGGCGGGGUAAAGGCCCACCACGGCGACGAUCCGUAGCUGGUGUGAGAGGAUGGUCAGCCACACUGGAACUGAGACACGGUCCAGACUCCUACGGGAGGCAGCAGUGGGGAAUAUUGGGCAAUGGGCGCAAGCCUGAUCCAGCCAUACCGCGUGGGUGAAGAAGGCCUUCGGGUUGUAAAGCCCUUUUGUUGGGAAAGAAAAGCAGCAGGUUAAUACCCCGCUGUUCUGACGGUACCCAAAGAAUAAGCACCGGCUAACUUCGUG
rnacentral:rRNA from 1 species